AAUGAACGCUGGCGGCAUGCCUAACACAUGCAAGUCGAACGAGACCAUCGGGUCUUGUCGUGCAUGGGUGUGUAGCGGGUGGGGACAUGCCCAUGGGUUUGGCAUAACUCUCCGAAUGGGGUGCUAAUACCGGAUCAUAUCUUCGGACCAAAGAUUUUUUGAGUUUGGUGGGGCCCGCGUUGGAUUCGCUAGUUGUUAGGGUAAUAGCCUACCACGGGGUCGAUAAAUAGCUUGUUAGUGAGGCUGGUCACCCACACUGGGACUGAGACACGGCCCGGACUCCUACGGAAGGCGGGAAAGGGGAAUAUUGGACAGUGGGCGAAGUGCUGAUCCAGCAAGGCCGGGUGAGUGAUGAAGGCCGUAGGGUUGUAAAGCUCUUUUACCCGUGAUGAUAAUGACAGUACCGAAAGAAUAAGCGCCGGCUAACUCCGUG
rnacentral:rRNA from 1 species